CAAAGAUCAGCUAAAGAUGGGUUUCAGAUGUGUCUUUGGGCCUUGGGACUUCUUCAAAUGUCAAUGUGCGUGAAUCACCCGGAAGCUUGUUAAAAUCCCAGCUCUGAUUCAGCAGCUCUGGGUGGGACCUGAGAUGACACAUGUCUUACGAGCUCCAGAUGGCAUCCAUGCUGCUGGUUAAGUGACCGCACUUCGCACGCAAACGUUCACUGCAGCACCGUUCUCAAUGGCAAAGACAUGGAAUCAACCUAAAUGCUCAUCAGUGGCAGACUGGAUAAAGAAAAUGUGGUACAUAUACACCACGGAAUACUAUGCAGCCAUAAAAAGAACAAGUUCAUGUCUUUUGUGGGAACAUGGAUGAAGUUGGAGGUCAUUAUUCUUAGCAAACUAACACAGGAACAGAAAACCGAAUACAGCAUGUUCUCACUUACACGUGGGAGCUAAAUGAUGAGAACUCAUGAACAGAAAGAAGGGAACAACAGACACUCGGGUAUACUUGAGGGUGGAGUGAGGGAGGAGGGAGAGGAGCAGAAAAAAAUAACUAUUGGGUACCAGGCUUAAUACUUGGAUGAUGAAAUAAUCUGUACAACAAGCCCUGUGACAUGAGUUUACCUAUAUAACAAACCUUCACAUGUACCUCCAAACCUAAAAUGAAAGUUAAAAAAGAAGAAAGACCUUGGAGGAUUUUAUCGACUUAGCAAACAUUUUUUUAAGAAUCUAUCCUGUGUGAGUCACUGUACCAGGAUCAGCUAGAACAGGGAGAUGGGAGUCAGGAAUAUCUGUACCUUGUAGUCAUCUCACUCCGUCGGGGAGAACAGACAUUGAGGCAAGGACCACACAGAUGAUCAAUCACAUUUCUGAUGAGCUCCAUGAGGAGAAGGAAGGGUGCCAUGGGGGCGUAAAUU
rnacentral:lncRNA from 10 species